GAGGAGUCAGCCCGGGUGAGCCAAACAAGAUCCGUUUGACGUAGAUAAAACGAAUUAGUCUCAUGUAACCGGUGCCGUAGAUACGUUCGUGGGGAGCUGAUGCGCAUUAGCGUAGUGCGUAUUUGGAACGGAUCGCUCAUGUAACCCCGGUAUAUAAUGGGGUCUGUUAUUUGAUUUGAUUUUGUUAGGUGAAGAUGGAGAUGGCCUUGGAAAUAUGCGGAAGGCACUGUGACUAUAAAUAAUGGAAGGCUCGUUGCUGUCGGCGGUUCUGAAGUCAGCGGUUCGAUCCAGCUGAAGGACGUCACCUGGCAGGAAGUUGCAGAGUGUGGUGGCCAGUAUCAAGCCACAUUGUCCAGAAACCAUCACAUUAUCUCCAGGUCACUAGUCGCCGGUGCUCGAGCUGACGGCGUCGUUCAAGGGCUCCACGGUGACAAGCGCCGUCACCGUUGCCGCCGCCGCCGAGACCAUCCGACUCCUGGGCCCUGUUUCACGGCAGCGUACUGCAGCGCGCUACGCAGCGCUGCUGUGCUAGUGCGGCGAUUGAGACGAAUUCGGCUCGACGCUCCAGCGUUGCGAAACACCCGUGUCUAUGAAGGAUACGCCGAUACGUGCCCCAGCUUCAAGCCCUUCCCUCCCCCCCCCCCGUCCCGUCCCAUCCCAACGGUGUUGGCCGAGAUUGGGGUUUGGUAUUUUAACGGGCUCUCCGAUGACGUCCCGCAAUUUGUGUUAUGUAAUUUGACGAUUAUGUCGUAGUCUCAUUCUGUCUCGAUAUGCUAAUAAAUGAUAAAUGGGACGGAGGUUGGAA